rfam:Medicago truncatula strain A17 chromosome 7, whole genome shotgun sequence.
AAACAGCCCUGUAUGUAUUGGAUCUUUGGCAGUUUUGGCCCCCAAAACCACUUUUGACUUAGUCUUCCCUGACGUGGCACCCACAAUGGUCGACACGUGGCACCUCAGCGAAGACUAAGUCAAAAGUGGCAUUAGGGGCCAAAACUGCCAAAGAUCCAAUGCAUAGGGGGCUGAUU